UACAGAGGGUGCAAGCGUUGUUCGGAAUUAUUGGGCGUAAAGGGCGCGUAGGCGGUGCCACAAGUCACUUGUGAAAUCUCCGGGCUUAACUCGGAGCCUGCAGGCGAAACUGUGGUGCUGGAGUGUGGGAGAGGUGCGUGGAAUUCCCGGUGUAGCGGUGAAAUGCGUAGAUAUCGGAAGGAACAUCAGUGGCGAAAGCGACUUCCUGGACCAGUACCGACGUUCAGGCACGAAAGCGUGGGGAGCAAACGGG
rnacentral:rRNA from 1 species